UUUUAUCUGAUGAAGUCCGACAAAUGAAAAUACGAUUCAACAGAAGCCCUCAUUUCCCACUCCACUCCCUUAGCUCAUGAAAUUGGUGCCAAAAGGGUUAGAAAAGGAUCAAUUAAACGUGCUUGGGAAGUAAUGUUGACUACAAGUUUGAAAAGUGAAAAAACCUCAAGUUGUAAGAAAAAGAUGAAAGUUUCUUUUAGCGGUGACGCAAAAAGUGGGUUGGCUGAAGAUCAACAGCAGCAAGGAAAUAGUAAUGUCUUUAGAAAGACUAAAUGAAAAGGUUAAUGGGAGUCUCGCUGUUGGAAUUUUAGAUGGUCAUGGUUCAACAGUAAAGAUGUUGCCUUUAGCAAAUGAAGCGACCUUGUGUAAAUGCUACAGGAGAGAUGGUUAAUUACUAUGAAGGCAGACUUGUUCCUCAAGAUUACAAUGGUGGCUCUAAGGUGCUCCUGUUGUGAAAAAUAAAUUGCUCCUGUUGUGAACUCAAAGGUGCAACGAUGGGCUGUUUCGAAAAGAGUUGUCUUAAGAGUUUCCAUGUUCCCCUUGCAAAAUUAGUCUCACAAUACCGGUGGCAUAUACUUCAUUUGCCAGUUCACAACAAGGAAUAUCCUACAAGCGAAGAAGUCAGUAUGCAGAAGAACAUGAAUAUUUGUGAAUCGCGCGACAAAUUGGUUCUCUGUUGCUCAUCUCUCAUAGUUGAA